rnacentral:misc_RNA from 1 species
CGCGCACGCAGUCGCGAAACGCACGGCGCUGUCGGCAGCUUCGUCUGCCGAGGAGCAUCAUCAUCACCUAUUCCUUCCUUGAUGUCACCAUCACAACACCAGCGAGCGUCUAUGCCGUUUGCUGCGUUGCCAGUGUGCGCGGGUAACCGUGCUCCCGUCCAAAAGAAGCACCAGCACCUUUGCUUCGGUGUUUCGAAUCGACUCGUUCGUUGUCUCGUGUAAAACGAUGAUACCCCUGCUGAAAGGGCGGGGUGGACACACCUCAGUGUGUGUGUGCAUACCAGGGUCCAGCGCCCCCCACUCUGAGUCUGGGCAGCCCCCCAUCCCUGUCAAAAUGCCGAAAUACAUCUGGUGGCUACAGGGUCGUGCACCUACCUACGUGGGGAGAAGUUCCGAUCGAUGUAUCACUGCUGAUGUCGGUGGUCAGGUCGUACAUUGAAGUUGCGUCGGGGCGAGCUGCUACAUUCAAUACGUCGGUGUCGCCCAUGUGAUGGGCAGCGUGCCAGCGUGACUCGAGCGUAUUCCAAACCCGGGCCUUUCAGUGCCAGCUGGUGCGGGGAGCCUGCGCCACUCCUGGAGAUGCACCAGGUGGCGACCGGCUUACAGGGAGCGGCCGCGAGGCGAGACAUGCAAGGAGGGCGAGUGGGUAGCGUUUGAGGCGCAGGCCGUGCUCAGAUGACUGAGUCGGCGCGUUGCUGGAGUGCGUGUGUCUAGCGCUGCUUCGCAGCACGCGAUAUGGGGGCCUGUGGCAGCCCGGUGGAUAGAGAGGAAUUCGACUCCUGGUGUACGGCAGAGAGCGGACACGUUGAAACGAGUUUUUUUUGUUUGCGCGCUUAUUGCAGCGCCUUCUCAAGCGAUUUGGGCCAGAUAUCGAAAGGACAGCGAGAGCGAAGAGUCUUAGCCGCACACCGUGAUGAGGGUAUCUCUGUACUUGAAGCGCCUUCAUGUACGCGCGGGCGAAGAGUAGACAAGGAACAGCGUCAGUGGCGGCAGCCGAACCUGAGCAAGCCAGACGCUUCUCACACGGUACUCUGGUGUGCUUUUUGCCGAUGGCCACAGCGUUUGGCGUGACAGCUUGUCGUUUGACGGUCGUUUCACAGCGGCAGGGAGGUGGCAGGAAUCGUCUGCGCGCACGUCCCUCCCAGGCACGCACUUCAUGCUGAGUGCAGCGCUCGAUUUGGAAAACGGAAUACACGAUCUCUCUCCUUUUUCUCCUGCCGCAUUCCUGCUCACAG